rnacentral:rRNA from 1 species
UACAGAGGGUGCAAGCGUUGUUCGGAAUCAUUGGGCGUAAAGCGCACGUAGGCGGUUCGUUAUGUCGGAUGUGAAAGCCCUUGGCUUAACCGAGGAAGUGCAUCCGAAACUGGCGAGCUAGAGUACUAAAGAGGAUCGCGGAAUUCCCGGUGUAGAGGUGAAAUUCGUAGAUAUCGGGAGGAACACCGGUGGCGAAGGCGGGUCUCUGGGCCGAUACUGACGCUGAGGAGCGAAAGCAUGGGUAGCGAACAGG